rnacentral:rRNA from 1 species
CUCAGGAUGAACGCUAGCUACAGGCUUAACACAUGCAAGUCGAGGGGCAGCAUGGUCUUAGCUUGCUAAGGCCGAUGGCGACCGGCGCACGGGUGAGUAACACGUAUCCAACCUGCCGUCUACUCUUGGACAGCCUUCUGAAAGGAAGAUUAAUACAAGAUGGCAUCAUGAGUCCGCAUGUUCACAUGAUUAAAGGUAUUCCGGUAGACGAUGGGGAUGCGUUCCAUUAGAUAGUAGGCGGGGUAACGGCCCACCUAGUCUUCGAUGGAUAGGGGUUCUGAGAGGAAGGUCCCCCACAUUGGAACUGAGACACGGUCCAAACUCCUACGGGAGGCAGCAGUGAGGAAUAUUGGUCAAUGGGCGAGAGCCUGAACCAGCCAAGUAGCGUGAAGGAUGACUGCCCUAUGGGUUGUAAACUUCUUUUAUAAAGGAAUAAAGUCGGGUAUGGAUACCCGUUUGCAUGUACUUUAUGAAUAAGGAUCGGCUAACUCCGUGCCAGCAGCCGCGGUAAUACGGAGGAUCCGAGCGUUAUCCGGAUUUAUUGGGUUUAAAGGGAGCGUAGAUGGAUGUUUAAGUCAGUUGUGAAAGUUUGCGGCUCAACCGUAAAAUUGCAGUUGAUACUGGAUAUCUUGAGUGCAGUUGAGGCAGGCGGAAUUCGUGGUGUAGCGGUGAAAUGCUUAGAUAUCACGAAGAACUCCGAUUGCGAAGGCAGCCUACUAAGCUGCAACUGACAUUGAGGCUCGAAAGUGUGGGUAUCAAACAGGAUUAGAUACCCUGGUAGUCCACACGGUAAACGAUGAAUACUCGCUGUUUGCGAUAUACAGCAAGCGGCCAAGCGAAAGCGUUAAGUAUUCCACCUGGGGAGUACGCCGGCAACGGUGAAACUCAAAGGAAUUGACGGGGGCCCGCACAAGCGGAGGAACAUGUGGUUUAAUUCGAUGAUACGCGAGGAACCUUACCCGGGCUUAAAUUGCAGAUGAAUGACGGUGAAAGCCGUAAGCCGCAAGGCAUCUGUGAAGGUGCUGCAUGGUUGUCGUCAGCUCGUGCCGUGAGGUGUCGGCUUAAGUGCCAUAACGAGCGCAACCCUUGUUGUCAGUUACUAACAGGUUCCGCUGAGGACUCUGACAAGACUGCCAUCGUAAGAUGUGAGGAAGGUGGGGAUGACGUCAAAUCAGCACGGCCCUUACGUCCGGGGCUACACACGUGUUACAAUGGGGGGUACAGAGGGCCGCUACCACGCGAGUGGAUGCCAAUCCCCAAAACCUCUCUCAGUUCGGACUGGAGUCUGCAACCCGACUCCACGAAGCUGGAUUCGCUAGUAAUCGCGCAUCAGCCACGGCGCGGUGAAUACGUUCCCGGGCCUUGUACACACCGCCCGUCAAGCCAUGGGAGCCGGGGGUACCUGAAGUGCGUAACCGCGAGGAGCGCCCUAGGGUA